AACACACUAAAACAUUUAUGUUAACGAAUUUUGCUGUCGAACACAAUACCUUCUACAAAAACACAAACAAUAAAAAAAAAAGGAUGUCCAGCAUUUCAACAAUAAGCUAUAAACUUCAACUUUAUCAGGGGAAAAUUUUAGAAAACACAAAGCAGUAAAACUGAAAUGAAAUUCGUCUAUGAUGAUGGGUGUUGUCUCUAUUCUAUACCAUGAAUACGAAGAUCCUGUUGUAUCUACUCGUAGGUACAGAUGUAUAUUAUCAUUUUUACUUUUUAUCCUUGUCAGGAGCUAACAAAAAAAUCUCUGGAGUUGAUGCUAACAUCGUUUCCAGAAUUCAAACCAACCCGACAGGCCACCCAUCCAGUUUCCAGUUUAUGAAAGAGAAAAUGCAUACAUCCGGUUCCGCCCGACCCGUCGGCCAUGGCCACCAUUGCAUAAUGAGAUUUCUUUCAAGGAUAAUGAAGAAUGCAGGAAAAUAGGAAAGCAACACAACGACAGCAAUAGGGUGAAAUAAUUUUAACCACAUCAGGGAGAGCAGGACGAUGGCAUGUAAAGAGAUGAAGGACCAUGACUCUUACAAGCGGAGAAAGGAAAACAGUUGAAUCUCCCUUGGGCGGACAGUGAUACAAUUCCAAUUUUAUCAACCCUUACAAGAGAUAUCGUACUUACAAAUUUCAACACACAACAAAAUGACUCAAAAACUUGUUUUUAAAUGCAUUUCAUGCCUAACAAGAAAAUUUGA